rnacentral:lncRNA from 1 species
GGUAGAGUGUGACUCUGUGUCCAUCAACACUCGCCCACUUGCUUGUAGAAAGCCAACAUUGUUAAGAUUUGCGGCCGGGCGCGGUGGCUCAAGCCUGUAAUCCUAGCACUUUGGGAGGCUGAGGCGGGCAGAUCACGAGGUCAGGAGAUCAAGACCAUCCUGGCUAACACGGUGAAACCCCGUCUCUACUAAAAAUACAAAAAAUCAGCCGGGUGUGGUGGCGGGCGCCUGUAGUCCCAGCUACUUGGGAGGCUGAGGCAGGAGAAUGGCGUAAACCCAGGAGGCGGAGCUUGCAGUGAGCUGAGAUCCGGCCACUGCACUCCAGCCUGGGCGACAGAGCAAGGCUCUGUCUCAAAAAAAAAAGAUUUGCAAAAUACUUGUACCUCCAAGGUGGCCGUGAUGUGAUGUCAUUCUGUGUUUUCCCGGGUACGGAGGGGUAAUUUCAGAAGGAGGCAUUUUGUAAAAUUAAAAGGUAUUCACCAAAUAUUUCAUGCAUGAGUGUAAUCUACAGGCUUGGUGAUUCGAGAUGAAAACGCAUAUAUCAGACAAACAAGAUUGGAUAUUUAGAAGCAAAUUUCAGACUCAAGGGAGAAUAAAUUACAGGGAACUUCUUAUCAGAGCCGGUACAUGUCUGGGUCUGGAGUGAAAGCCUCGGGCUAUGGCCUCAGAGGCAUGAGUUCCUCCUUCCUGGCAACCUGGGGGAUCACAAAGACAGACGGCACCUCCCCAGGCACCUGUGCUCAUGUCCGAUGGCAAAGUCAUUAGCAAGCAAACCCGAGGCGGUCACUCGUCACCCGGAGCCCAUCCGCAUUAAGAAGGCGCUUUCUCGCCGUCACAGGGGAGGAACUGCUAAAGAGACCACCAGACGUGGAACACAGCCAUAGUUUUAGGUGUACAAUUAUUGCACACAGAUAAAUUCUGGAAACAGCUGCCUAGAAAAUUCUUUAUAUUGGAAAGUAUGCUUUGAGGCCAUGACGCCAGAUUUUACAGCCGUUUCUUGGCUGAGCCCCGGGCUGGCUUAUGGCUUUGCAGAAAGGCAUCAUCACAUUUUAUGAACGACAGACGGUUUUUAUC